CGCUAGGAGGAGUGCGAAGCGCGGAAUUGAAACAGACGUACAGCAGGUAACGUUACGAGAAAACAGCCUUCAGACAACGGACCGAAAAUGGAAGGGUAAGGCGCCCUCCAACCCCGGAAGAUGAGUUUGACCUGGAGGAGGAAAUGCGAAGCAUACAGGCGUUACAGGGGCGCCUUGAGCUGACCCUAUGGACGAUUCGGCUGCUGUUGGACAUUGCUGACUACCUACUCCGACUUGCCGGUCCACACGGCGAUAGCAACGAUAAUCCCCGAAGUCAUUGAAGAAACGCUCGAAGCUUGUAUUUUUCUGGAGUUUUUCGUUAUUUUUCUUUCUUUCUUUUUCUAUUUUCUUUUUUUUGUCGGGAAAGAAUUCUUAUGUCAAUAAAUGAAUACUGCAUCCGUUCUUUUGUCACUAUAUGUGGACAGAAUUUCACGCACUGGAAAGAAAGGUGUCCUCCUAUUCACUUGAUGCGUGCAAUUUGCGCGUAUCGCAGUUGUAGCGAAGAUCGAAGGAGAAAUGGGAUGGUGAACAUAAAAGGAGGUCAGCCGGAAGAGCUCCCGGUUUGCUGCCCCUA